rnacentral:rRNA from 1 species
AUUGAACGCUGGCGGCAGGCCUAACACAUGCAAGUCGAGCGGUGCGGCGGACGGGAGGGUAAGUCCUAGGUGUCUGCCUGGUAGUGGGGGAUAAGGUCCGGAAACUUGCGCUAAUCCCCCAUACUAUCACAUGAGCCGAGGUCCGAUUAGCGAGUUGGUGGGGUAAAGGCCUACCAAGGCGACGAUCCGUAACUGGUCUGAGAGGAUGAUCAGUCACACUGGAACUGAGACAAGGUCCAGACUCCUACGGGAGGCAGCAGUGGGGAAUAUUGGACAAUGGGCGAAAGCCUGAUGCAGCCAUGCCGCGUGUGUGAAGAAGGUCUUCGGAUUGUAAAGCACUUUAAGUUGGGAGGCGUUACCAACAGAAUAAGCACCGGCUAACUUCGUGCCAGCAGCCGCGGUAAUAC